GACAACGUGGCCGAGCGGUUAAGGCGGCAGACUAGAAAUCUGCUUCCCUAUGGGAGCGUAGGUUCAAAUCCUGCCGUUGUCG